rnacentral:lncRNA from 1 species
UUUAUAUUCAAGCAAGAAAGCAGCCUCUGGACAGGAAAAUGCAGGUGCAAAAAUGCAGGUGGGGUGUCCUACAUCCAGUCCAGACCAAACUGCGUCCAGUUCAGCUCCCUGCACCUGAUACACUCCUCCUGUAUGUGCCGGCAGGACUUCAGCUCGCCCGUGUCCCACUGCUGUCCCUUCCCAAUUGCCUGGCUCACACACCUUGUGAUGCCCUUGGCAUCACGGUACAAAGCACACCAUUGGCAUGCUGUUAAGCAAUCAACUUGCUAUUAGUAAUUGAUUCAAUUAUUAUUUUUUUUUUCCUUAAGAUGUCACAGGAACUAAGGGCAGAGGGCACACUUGAGGGACCCGCGGAGACCAAGGCCUUGUGUUUCAUUUCAAGAGACGUCAUAAGAGUCACAGCUUUGCUGCUCCGAUACUCUCUUGGCAGCAGUGUAAGGAUUGAGCAAUACUACUUUACAUUUUUAAAACAAGAGGCCAUGUGAAAGCCAGCUUUGGUGCUGCUCAGUGCAAGUAUCUCGGCUGUGAUCUCAGACCUACGCGAGGGGAGGAGAUCCCUGUUUACUCUCCAAAUGCACAAUGUGCAGAGACAGUGUCGGCUGUGUCAGAGACCACAGGGAGGGAAUCCAUGUCAGUGGGGUUGCCCUCAUGACCAGAAAAACUUGCCCAAAGAUUUUCCUCAGGUGUGCCAAACCCCCGGACUUUGCAGAUCGCUGUGGAGUGUGUACCUGGAGAUGACGCAGGCUAACGCAACAUGCAGCCCAUCCCAACCUCCUGUGUGGCAGCAGGAUGCUGGCAUCUCACCACUCCCUGAGGUCUCCUCUGUGCCGCUCGCUUUGUUCCUGCAGCACAAUUUGAGGGACACACAUCUCAUUCCUAAAGCUCCUGACAGGGCUGGAACAGUUUUAACUAUCAGAAAACAGCUCCAUCCCGCCCAGCGCGGCCAGGAUCACGCGCUUACCGGGAACCAUCCUCAGAGCCCUUCCAAAAAAGGACAUUUCCAGCACCAAUGUGAGUGUGGAUGGAAGAGAAAGCAGCGAGUGAGGGUCGGGGGAUUCUUGUGCCCACAAAAGGCUUUGUCAGAUAAGAUGGGUCACAUUUGCCACACUUUAUUCUGCUUGUGUAUUAAGCCUUCUCCUGCAUAAACCUGGAUGCGGUGGAUGCCAUCCUCGUGGGUCCUCUUCACUGUCAGUGAGCACUGGCUGGGACCAGUGCUGGAACAUGAGUAUGGACAAAAGGAGGAAGGUGGAAGCCCUUUGGUUUCCUUUGUGUUAACCUCAAAUCCAACUCAACCUCAUGAGAAUGUACAGUAGAAGCUGUAAUGUAUAGUUCUCAGGAGCAGGUAACGUCCCUAACAGUUCUCCAGAAGGCUUUGCCUGCUCCUUGGUCAGACAAAGGACUUCAGGUUGACAGGACUUCUUGCUUCUGGAGAAGUCCUGGGAACUCCUAAAGCUGGUGUAAUAGCCCCUUCUCCUCCACCCUGGUAUUUUCUGCUGUGUGAGAGCUGUGCUGUCACAUAUCCUCAGUCUGCCACAGUUUGGAUCCGUUUCCUUACGUGCAGUGAAUUAAAGGCUCAGAUUUCAUGUAAGAGCACCUAGAGGUGUUGUGAACGCUUGCAAUUGUAAUGAAAUCCGUGGUACACCAUCCUGGUCAGCAGACCUAUGGAAGGCAAAGCUGAUACCAAUCAACGUAUAUGAAAAAUAAGACAAUGUCUGGAAAGCGUCUGUUAAAUUAAGAAACACAGUGUAGCAGCCCAUGCUGAAGGAAGGUUUAUGAGUCUGAAUUAGGAUGACACAGAUGAUAGAGCAAAGCCGUGUUUUUUAGGAGCAGAGCUGUGUGUGGCCCUCCCGGCACAGACCCCUCUCCCCUCUUUGGGAUGACUAUUAAUAGCACGGGGCCUGGCCAAGCCAAACUCAAAUGGUGUGUGGGUCUGUUUGGGUACUGCAGGGCUAUUUGGCAACUCCAGGUGAAUGCCCUUAAAUAAUCCUGCUGGCACUGGGUGUUGGAGAGCUCGAGGCUUUAGAAACUUUUGGGUCAAAUUUACUCUUGUUAAAUAAACAAUGAGUAUUGAUUAGAUCA